rnacentral:rRNA from 1 species
GACGAACGCUGGCGGCGUGCUUAACACAUGCAAGUCGAACGGAAAGGCCCUGCUUUUGUGGGGUGCUCGAGUGGCGAACGGGUGAGUAACACGUGAGUAACCUGCCCUUGACUUUGGGAUAACUUCAGGAAACUGGGGCUAAUACCGGAUAGGAGCUCCUGCUGCAUGGUGGGGGUUGGAAAGUUUCGGCGGUUGGGGAGGGACUCGCGGCUUAUCAGCUUGUUGGUGGGGUAGUGGCUUACCAAGGCUUUGACGGGUAGCCGGCCUGAGAGGGUGACCGGCCACAUUGGGACUGAGAUACGGCCCAGACUCCUACGGGAGGCAGCAGUGGGGAAUAUUGCACAAUGGGCGGAAGCCUGAUGCAGCAACGCCGCGUGCGGGAUGACGGCCUUCGGGUUGUAAACCGCUUUCGCCUGUGACGAAGCGUGAGUGACGGUAAUGGGUAAAGAAGCACCGGCUAACUACGU